CAAUAGCGUAUAUUAAAGUUGUUGCAGUUAAAAAGCUCGUAGUUGGAUUUCUGGCAGAGUGACUCCGGCCAGCAUGCUUGCUUGGUCAGGGGCGCCCUACCAUCCUUCGGUAAACCUCUAGGGUAUUUGUUUAUCUUAGAGCGGCUCCGAUAUUUUACCUUGAGAAAAUUAGAGUGUUUCAGGCAGGCUAUAGCCGGAAUACAUUAGCAUGGAAUAAUAGAAAAGGACUACUACCUCUUCUGUUGGUCUGGGAGGCAGCAGUAAUGAUUAAUAGGGAUAGUUGGGGGCAUUAGUACUUAACUGUCAGAGGUGAAAUUCUCCGAUUUGUUAAAGACUAACUUAUGCGAAAGCAUUUGCCAAGGAUGUUUUCAUUAAUCAAGAACGAAAGUUAGGGGAUCAAAGACGAUUAGAUACCAU
rnacentral:rRNA from 1 species